GAUACAAACUCAUUAUUUAAAUCAUAUAUCUAUUAAUUUCUAUUAUCGAUUUGCCUAUUAAGUGAGUAAAGGGAAAUAGGCUUGGUUAAUAUGUUUCUUGAAGAGUGAAAAGACUUUUCUUUGGCUUAAAGUCCCCUCCUUUCUCAGACUCUAAGGGCCUUGCCUGGCUUAACGCCAUUUCCGCUUAAGGAUGGGCUGAUAACGCUGCUUUAUCAAUAGCCAGAGGAUCCGAGUGGCCAGGGCAGUUAUCAGGAUUUGAGGGAGAGGGCCUUUUUUUCCAAAGAAAGGAGGAAAGAAAACUAGGUUUACUAAAAGGAUUAACUCUGCAAGAGAUGUCCCAUUUCAUUUCCUGCUAAAAGAUUAAGAAUUUUACAAGUGAUGCCCCGUCUCAGAAACGUGCGUUAAGCAGUACUCGACUGUUCGUUUUGGAAGCAGAAGUGCGUGUUUUAGUACAGAUUGUGAGAUGUUACCGAUUUCCCUCAAACCUCACUUUUCCAUAAAUUUAGAAAUUUUUAAGUCACGAGCACAUGAGAACAAACCGCUUACAUUCCGCGGUAGCUGAAUUCCGAAAGCCCGCCUUGCAGCUGGCACCUUCGGAGGUGGUCCCUGGGCCAUGCCACCUGGAGAGUGGAUUAAGAGGUGCCGAGCUGUUUCAGUUCUUUGUACUUUACGUUCAGUCCUCACUACAGUCCUCUGAGGUCCGUACUGCUGUGACCUUGCCUUUCAGGAACCGAAGCUUAGAGGGGUAAGUAACUGGUCUCCCAUCACUUCGUCCUUGUGUCCCUCACAGCCGAGGGGCAUAGGUGACAAGAGGUCCUUGAUCCAGCCAAGGAAACAGUGAGCUGGGCAGAGUAUGACAUUGUAAGCAUUGUGUGCUGCUGAGUCUUGGGCAGUAAGCUUUUCCAGGCGCGGGGCCGGCCUUUGCCCAGGGCGGUAGGUCUUGGCCUCCUCUGAAAGAGGAGGCGGGGCCAGAACCUGCAGGACACGCCCCCGUGCCUCAGCCAAGGGCUGCAGCUGGGGUCACUGUGUGUGCCCAACAUAGGCUGCCGGCAGCUCGGAAGUGGUGCUGCGGACACGCGCGAGCUGGCAGGUUUUCAGUGACCAGCAUGUGACCCGGCACCAUCCUGAUCGUGGGGGACCGUGAGGGGACUAUCGGGCUGAAAGCCCAGCAGCUGGAGAUGGGUCCUUGGCCGAAUGCGCCUGCGUCUGCGGGUGAGGGGACCGGCGCGCACGGUCAUAUUUGGGUGCCACGCCCUCCUCGCAGACUCCGCCUUGUGCCUGUCCUUCCUGUCCUGCCCCCGCCGCCGUCUCUCCGACCCCCGCCUCAGCACACGUUUGAGCACGCGGAGUUCUUCUCAUCGUGUGAGAACAAAGCCCUGGUCCCCUCUGCUGCUCUUCCUGUCGCGCUUGUCAUCUGUUCCUCUCUGCUCCCUGGGUCAGAUUUCACACUCCAGCGGGGCUGUUGGUCUCGUCUUACUCGGCCUGGCGGCCCUUGACCGUCCUCGGUCCCAGGCCGUCCGUAGCAGCGCACACACUGGGUGUCACUCCUGUGACCGGCCCCGCCUCUCUCCUGUGCCAGCGCUGCCAGGGACCGCUAGUCUCCUUCAGCCCGUGUCCUCUGUUCUGUGUCCGGUUUCCCCUCCGCUCCGCGCGUCCCACCAAAACCAAGUCUGACAGAUACUCAGCACCUAAGGCAGCGUCAUUGGCGGAAAUUGGACGUCACUUGAAAAACACUCUCAGCUUCUAGGACCGCGCUGGCCUGGCUUCCUCCUGCCUUCGGUCCACUCCUGUCUCCUGGCUGCUGCUUUUUUCUCACCUAGGUGAGAAAGGAGUUAGGGAAGGCGAGGAGGUAACCAUCACUGUGAUGGCGCUCACUGUGGUGGCACUGUGGAAGCCAGUGUACCAGCGCCGCCUCUGGUGAUUGCACAGAGACUGGAGUGGUCCAGCCACCAGCCGAGGAGUGCCUGGGGCCGCCAGAAGCUGACAAAGGCAAGAGAAGGUCCUCCCUGAGGCUUCGCGGGGAGCUUGGCCAUGCCAACACCUCGAAAGUGGACUCGAGCCCCUAGAACUGUUGUAAGCCACCAGUUCGUGGUUCAUUUGUCACAGCAGCGGGAGGAAGCUCAUACAGCGGCUGUGGGACCGGCACUUAGGUGUCUGGGGCCGUGUCCUUGGAUCCCCCACGAAAAAUUUGCUCAGAGAAGAAAGACAAGGCCAAGAAUAGCAAGUGGAAGCGAUUUUAUUAAGUAGAGCAAAGCAAAGCACGCUUGAAGAGAGUCAGUUAUGACGGGCAGCUCCAUAAUAAUCCAGUGUGCUGAGAAAUUGGGGGUCCGAGAUUUUCUGGGCCGUAGUUUGUCCUUCGGGCCCUCCAGCCUUGAUGCACCCAAACUCCCAGCUCCUCCGUCUGAACCGUGGGCCUUGGCCCGGGCAUGCGCAUGUGUGCCCAUAGGUGGGCAGUCAUACGUCUGCGCCCCGAAGAGUUUGAGGGCAGGCGCAUGCUCAGUUAACUCCCUUCGCCCAUACCUGUCAUGCACCCCAGAGGUCACAUAAUGGUCAUCUGCAGUUAACCAUGCAGGAGCAUGGGGGGGGAGGGGCAAGGAAAGCAGCAGACAGGGCCAGGUACGUGGCCUGUGCAUAUCUGGCUUCUGACCUUGAGGGAACGAGGGGCGGGGGCUCCAGAAGCCUGCCAGAUUCUUCUGCUGAGCAGCUCGGGGGGCCUCCUUAACCCUUCAUCGCCCCUCUUCCCCCGGCUCACACCGACCCACCUACCCACCCUGUCAGCCACAGUCAACGUGGGGUUGCCCUCUUGGGAUUUGCCUACAAAGAAUGUGGUCCAGAGGCUCAGGAGAAACGGGUUGUGUGGGUCCCCCACGUGCGCCCCUAAGGGUGCCUUCCAGAGGUGGCUCAGAGGACAUUUCUUCAUCGAAACAUUAGAAAAAGGUGCUGGAUAUUUCUUUGUGCCUCGAUGUUCACGCCACUCAGUUCUUGCCCCAAGAGGCCGAUCUGUACCAGCUGCAGGAAGGCCACCACGCAGUCCGCCCAGGUCACUGUCCCCGGGUGCUGACUCUAGGCCACCUUGACCGCAGGCUUCAGGUGACAUCCCUACCGGAUCGGCACACCAUUCCCCGGUGCUCCCGCCAACACACUACACCCCGAAUUCCGCUUCGAGACGUUCUCAGCACCCCCUUGGUGUCAACUCGUGUCUCAGGGUCCCACUCCUUUGCCAUCUGUGCGCUUCGCGGACCAGACGGGGUUGAGCAUGGGCCUGGCAAUGCAACUCUGUCACCCCGACAGCAGGCCCUGGACCGGACUCCAGCCAUGUGUCCCCUGCGGGAUGCGGGAACUCAGGGCUCUGAGUUCCCGCUCGGGCUCCGCAUCAACCAUCGCUGCCUCGGUCUGUCCUCUUCCCUGUGCGUGUGCUCGCGGGCCACCGGGAGCAGCCCGCUGACCCCGUGGUCUCUAAUCCCUCUCGUUGCCACUGUGACUUCCGCAGCCCCUCGCUUUCCCACGGUCUUCCUCUCCUGUACUGUUAACCAGUGACGCCACUUGCCAUGGAAUAUCGGUGUCCCAUGGCUCAUUCCUUAAACGUGUGAGCAUCCCGGUCCCCGGAUGCUGUUCUGAGGGCCCGUCCCAGGGGAGCGAGGAGAGUGGGGGCCUGCAGCAGUGGUGUGUGGCCACCCCAGGGUGCCGGUGGGCCCGGCACGGAGAGGCGUGUGCCAUGGCACACACACCACGCAAGGCGUUUUUGCUUCUCAUGUCUAGAAAGAAGAAAGAUGUCAGCCCCUUCAAGGAGAGAAAGUUUAUCCUGGCACUAAAGUUUAAGACAAAUUUCAGAAUUUUAACAGAAGAGAAACAGUCGCGAGGAGGCUGAAUCGAUGUCUUCAAGAACAGAUUUAUGGCAAAACGCUGGUCCUUGUCGGGAAGACUAACAUUAAAAAUGAAGGGCGUAAAAAAAAAAAAAAAAAGUUAGGGAUGUAACGUGACUGCACCUUUCCGUGGAGACAAGGUUUUGUAACGGGAUCCAGCCCGGGACAGCCAGUGGGGGUCAAUUCUUUUUGGUGGGUAGCUGGAGUCGGGCGCCUGGGUGCCGAGAGUUGCUGGAGAGCUACGACUGGUUAGGUGCUACAUGAGCAGGGGGCAGGGGUAUGCGGUGUAGACGGAGGGAGUCAUCCCUGAGCUAAGCUGAGCUGGGCCAGUAGCCAAAGUCAGUCUUAGAAAAGCAGCUGCGCGGCCCAGCAGAGUGGACGGAGACCUUGCCGUUUUAUGCGGGACGUUCUCAAUUUUCGCCGCCCACACACCUCAGUGUUCUUCUUCCCCCGCAUGAGCCCUCCCAAGGUGACACACAGGUCCCAGCAGACUGGCUGGCACCCCGUGGUUUUCUCAGAAACCGUGACUGAGUGGAAGUGACUUCACAGUACGGUCACCUCAUAUCUACUUUAAUUUAUACAAGUAAAUGUAGAGAUUCUGGGCUCUGUGUCAUCUUUAGAAAGGCAUUCUCCGCUCCAAGAUUCUCACCAUUUCCGUUAUCCAUUUUUUCAUGUAAACUUUUGAUCCUGCCGGAAGUGACUUUGAUAGAAGGAGGAAGAGGGAGCCCUUAACUUUCAUUUUUUCCCCCCAAAUUGCUAUACAAUUGAUCACCUUUAUUUUUAGAUCGAAUCCCACAAUAUACGUAGUUUAUUUCGGUUUCUAUUCUGUGCUCUUCUGUCUACGCAUGCGUGCUAUGGGUUGAAUUUUGUGUCCCCCGCCCCGCUCCCCAAAAUAUACCUUAGAGUUGUAACCCUCAGUACCUCAUAAUGUGACUUUAUUUGGAAAUAGGGUCAUCGAAGCUGUAAUGAAGAUGAGGUCAUGCUGGAGUAGGGCGGGCCUCCUCCCACAGGACAGGUGUCCUCCCUAAGUGGGAAAUUUGGGGACAGACUUGAGACACAGAGGGACAGAGACUGGAGUGCAGCAGCAGCAGGCCAGAGACUGACAGUCACCACCAAGAAGCUGGGACGAGGGAGACAAGGAACGAUUCUAUCCAGAGCCUCAGAGGCUCCUCCACGUCAGACUUGUAGCCUCCAGAACUGGGAGAGAAUAGAUUCUUUUAAAGCCACCAGUUUGUGGUACGUUGUUUCCACAGCCCUAGAAAACACAACGGAUGCUGUUCUAAUUAAUGCCGUCGUGUAAUAUUUUUUAAUAUUACAAAUGGGGACAGCCAUCCCUCCUUGUUUGUGA